ACCCUAAACGCUUAAUAUCAUCAGCAAUUCAAUAGAAAAUUUUAUCUCACACCAGUAACUUCAUUCCUUGUGAAAGUUCCAUUGCUUUAGCAUUAUCGUGUCUUCAUGUUGUGAGUGACUUGCAGCAUUUUGAGUGCUUGGGAAGAACCUGAAAACUAUUGAUCAAAUCUCUAAAUGUGAUACAUCCUAAUACUGAGCAUGGACUAUUUUGGAGAAUAAUUAUGAUAAUAUAACAAUGAAGAUUAUUCUAAAUUGCUUUUAUUCUAAAGUAUUACCUUCAUAGUGCUGUCCUUUUUGAACUCCUCAUGCAAUGAAUUACAUUCAACAGCUUUAUGAAGAAAUUUCCUUAUCUCCUGUCUGACUGCACUUUUCGGGAUGUGUGUACAAAGUGAAACUGUCCAUAAUUCAUGUUGUAUGUCAAUAAAAUAAUAAACUCUCAAAAUGCUAUUGAUUGGGUAACUUAUGCUUUAAAGGUUCCAUGGAGAAUGAACAAUCUUCUUAACUCCACCCUUAAUCCGAUCAAAACUCUUCCCCCAAUUUCUUUUAUUCCUUUUAUUCAUAUUUUAAGGGAAGCAAACAAUUUUGUGAAUCAUUUGACAAAAGUGGGCGAUUCAUGUCAGGAGGAUUUUAGAGCCUUGCUUAUCUCUCAUUAGUGAUUCAUGGUCCAAUUUGUGUUUGAUCUUUGUUGGUGGGUUGCUCUAAUUGUUUCAUUUGGUGAGUUGCUCUGAAGCUCCAAGACCCCUUGCAAUUUGCUCUUCUGCACAUAUUUUGGAGUGCAUUUUGGAUCUACCGCGUUUUGUUUUGGUUUUGUGAUUUCAGGUCAUCUUAUCGUUUCUAUUAUUAUGGCUAGAACCCUUUGCUUUGGUGUUUUUCUUGACUUUUUUCUGUUUUGUGUUUUGCUCCAAGUUUUUUCACUUAGCAUG
rnacentral:misc_RNA from 1 species